rnacentral:rRNA from 1 species
AUUGAACGCUGGCGGCAUGCCUUACACAUGCAAGUCGAACGGCAGCACGGGUGCUUGCACCUGGUGGCGAGUGGCGAACGGGUGAGUAAUACAUCGGAACGUACCUUAUCGUGGGGGAUAACGCAGCGAAAGCUGUGCUAAUACCGCAUACGCCCUGAGGGGGAAAGCGGGGGAUCGCAAGACCUCGCGCGAUUAGAGCGGCCGAUGCCUGAUUAGCUAGUUGGUGGGGUAAAAGCCCACCAAGGCGACGAUCAGUAGCUGGUCUGAGAGCACGGUCAGCCACACUGUGACUGAGGCCCGGCCCAGACUCCUACGGGAGGCAGCAGUGGGGAAUUUUGGACAAUGGGGGCAACCCUGAUCCAGCAAUGCCGCGUGAGUGAAGAAGGCCUUCGGGUUGUAAAGCUCUUUUGUCAGGGAAGUAACACCGGCUCUAACACAGUCCGGGAAUGACGGUACCUGAAGAAUAAGCACCGGCUAACUACGUGCCAGCCGCCGCCGUAA